rnacentral:rRNA from 1 species
UACGGAGGGUGCGAGCGUUGUCCGGAAUCAUUGGGCGUAAGGGCGCGUAGGUGGCUUCUUAAGCGUGCGGUGAAAGCCUGGGGCUCAACCCCGGGUCGGCCGUGCCGAACUGGGGGGGCUGGAGCACUGUAGAGGCAGGCGGAAUUCCGGGGUGUGAGCGGUGGAAUGCGUAGAGAGUCCGGAAGAACGACCGGUGGCGA